GUCAGUUGUCAGUUGUCAAUUGACUAUUCUAGACGUCGAAUGGGAAAUAAAAAUUCACCACGUCAAACUUUGUAAGAAUUUCUUGAAAUUCUUGAGUUCAUACAUGGAUCUGGAAAAAAAGUGAGGACGUGCCAUUCCCAGCACGUGGUCGUUCCUGGUCGAUGAUUACCAAAUUCAUCUCGAAAUAUACCUCGCUUACCACAUGUGCAGGACGACUCCAUGAAGAAGGAAAUGAAUUUUUUUCUUUUUGUGGACUGAUCUUAAUCUACCAGAUGUGGGAAAGUCGCAUAAAAUCUUUUUGUAGAUUAAAAAUGAGUAACUGGAAUUUUAUUUGUUCAUUGUGGUCGAAAUAUGUAGUUAAACCUUGUGUCUUAACUGCAGUGAGAGCCAUCCCAUUCUUCAAGUUGUACCUCAGUAUGUGAGGGGUUAUUAAAAUCUACACUACCUGUGCAGGAAGACUCCAUAGGAAAGGUUGUUCCAUAUACGGUAUUGCAGUGAAGUUCUAACUACCAUCCUACUUGCGGUUUUUUAAUUUAAUGGUACGUCAAUAAGCUGCUGUGGAGUGUUUUUUGUUAUGGCACACUCCUUUUGUCAAUAUUUACCCCGUAUCGAUGUUUCCUGUGUCAAAUGGCGUUAUUAUUUUUUUUAUUAUUAUUUAUUAUUUAAUAAAAGAAAAUAACUGUAACAAAUACAACUACUAGCAUGUUUCCCGAUUUAGGAGCUUGAUAACAAAGCUACUGAAUGUUUUUCAUCUGUAAUUUCUUUCAUGUUUAACCAUAUUUUCUGUGACCAGAGAUGAAAACAACUUGCUGCUUUUUUGAGAAGAAUAAGAAUGGAGGUUGAAUAUUUUAAAUAUUAACUGUAAAUAAAUAUUAAAAUGAAGAAAA